CAGUAGCCGCGGGAAUACGGAGGGUGCAAGCGUUAAUCGGAAUUACUGGGCGUAAAGCGCACGCAGGCGGUCUGACAAGUCAGAUGUGAAAUCCCCGGGCUUAACCUGGGAACUGCAUUUGAAACUGUCAGGCUGGAGUCUUGUAGAGGGGGGUGGAAUUCCAGGUGUAGCGGUGAAAUGCGUAGAGAUCUGGAGGAAUACCGGUGGCGAAGGCGGCCCCCUGGACAAAGACUGACGCUCAGGUGCGAAAGCGUGGGGAGCAAACAGGAUUAGAUACCCGCGUAGUCCCGUCUCUUAUACA
rnacentral:rRNA from 1 species